UGAGGAAUUUUGCGCAAUGGGAGCAAUCCUGACGCAGCAACGCCGCGUGGGUGAUGAAGGCCUUCGGGUCGUAAAGCCCUGUCAGGUGGGAAGAAUGUCCCGGGACUGAACAGGUUCCGGGAUUGACGGUACCACCAGAGGAAGCACCGGCUAACUCCGUGCCAGCAGCCGCGGUAAUACGGAGGGUGCAAGCGUUAUUCGGAAUUACUGGGCGUAAAGCGCGGGUAGGCGGUCCUGCAAGUCUGAGGUGAAAGCCCCGGGCUUAACCCGGGAAGUGCAUUGGGAACUGUGGGACUUGAGGACGGGAGAGGAUGGGGGAAUUCCGGGUGUAGAGGUGAAAUUCGUAGAGAUCGGGAGGAAUAUCAGUGGCGAAGGCGGCCAUCUGGACGGUAACUGACGCUGAGACGCGAAAGCGUGGGGAGCAAACA
rnacentral:rRNA from 1 species